rnacentral:rRNA from 1 species
UACGUAGGGGGCAAGCGUUGUCCGGAAUCAUUGGGCGUAAAGAGCGCGUAGGCGGCCCAGUAAGUCCGCUCUGAAAGUCAGGGGCUCAACCCCUGGAUGCGGGUGGAUACUGCUGGGCUAGAGUCCGGAAGAGGCGAGUGGAAUUCCCGGUGUAGCGGUGAAAUGCGCAGAUAUCGGGAGGAACACCAAUGGCGAAGGCAGCUCGCUGGGACGUGACUGACGCUGAGACGCGAAAGCGUGGGGAGCAAACAGG